rnacentral:rRNA from 1 species
GAUCAUGGCUCAGAUUGAACGCUGGCGGCAGGCCUAACACAUGCAAGUCGAGCGGGGUUUUCGGACCUAGCGGCGGACGGGUGAGUAAUGCGUAGGAAGCUACCCGACAGAGGGGGAUACCAGUUGGAAACGACUGUUAAUACCGCAUAAUGUCUACGGACCAAAGUGUGGGACCUUCGGGCCACAUGCUGUCGGAUGCGCCUACGUGGGAUUAGCUAGUUGGUGGGGUAAUGGCUCACCAAGGCGACGAUCCCUAGCUGGUUUGAGAGGAUGAUCAGCCACACUGGAACUGAGACACGGUCCAGACUCCUACGGGAGGCAGCAGUGGGGAAUAUUGGACAAUGGGCGCAAGCCUGAUCCAGCCAUGCCGCGUGUGUGAAGAAGGCCUUCGGGUUGUAAAGCACUUUCAGCGAGGAGGAAGGGUUGUGUGUUAAUAGCGCAUAGCUUUGACGUUACUCGCAGAAGAAGCACCGGCUAACUCUGUG